rnacentral:rRNA from 1 species
UACGUAGGGGGCUAGCGUUAUCCGGAAUUACUGGGCGUAAAGGGUGCGUAGGUGGUUUCUUAAGUCAGAGGUGAAAGGCUACGGCUCAACCGUAGUAUGCCUUUGAAACUGGGAAACUUGAGUGCAGGAGAGGAGAGUGGAAUUCCUAGUGUAGCGGUGAAAUGCGUAGAUAUUAGGAGGAACACCAGUUGCGAAGGCGGCUCUCUGGACUGUAACUGACACUGAGGCACGAAAGCGUGGGGAGCAAACAGGAUUAGAUACCCUGGUAGUCCCUGA